rnacentral:lncRNA from 1 species
GACGCCGCCGGCUAGCGUGAUGGCUGCAGCGAAAGUCGGAAGAAAGCGGAAGAAAGUCCUAUUUGGGAUUUCUUUGAUUAUGACAGUGUCAAAAAUAAAACCUGACAAAGACAUCUUACACCUUGGAAGAACUGUACACCCCUUCCCCUCACGAACACCACCUUCGAUACCCUCUCGGGCACCCCCUUUCUGCUCUGGAAUGACCGCCUGAAACUGAUCUCCAUCCGAGGAUGCCUGUAUGCUGGUUGGCGGAUCUUCAUUAAGGCCACUCCUCUACCAUCUCUGGCACCCCGGCCAACUGCGGACUCCAUCCUUCAUCCGUCAAGCAUUCUGGUGCGCCUCCCACUCUACUUCCUGUGGGGGGAGCUCGCCAACAAUCUCCACAUCUCCAUCGACACAGGCAGUAGCCUGAGGUCUGAUAUGGCUACCAUCCUUCCAUCUUCAACCACCAGGAGCCUGCAGGCAGGGUACCCUGAUCCAGGGUUUUCUACGGGCCUGGUCCAAAGCGCAGUCAGUGAUCUUUGACAGCACUCAUCGCUUGUGUUGGCCACCCCAACACGAACGACAGCACCCACGACAACUGGGCCAGCAAGUGUGGCUCUCUACCCAAGACAUCAACCUCUGCAUCGAGUCACACAAGCUGUCCCCUCAGUUCAUUCGACCAUUCCAGAUCCUCAGCCAUCUCACUCCUGUCAUGUACUGUCU